rnacentral:lncRNA from 1 species
CUUAAGCGCCUGAGCCAUACGCGUAGUGUCAUCUGUCAAACGGCCUCUUUGUUUAUUUUCGGGAUUCCUGUAUUUUCAUUCAUUUUUGGUUUAAAAAGGAAAAAGGCCAUAUUUUAGUGUUUUUUUAAAUUGCUAGGAUGGCAAAAACUUGUGUCGUUUGUGCCUGAUCAUGAUAAAAAGGUGAUUCCAGCCGAUCUUUUCACAAGAUUUCUGAUGCACUAGUUAAAAACACAGCAGCCGAUAAUUCAGUUAAUUUACCAAGUAAUUUACCCUUCAAAGCUGCAGGUGUAGUUUUCCUGAAGAGUGCAAAAACUUCUUUAGCUUCCAAAAUGGUAUAUAGUACAAACUGUGAAGCUAAUUUAGACAAAUCUGAUCAUUCAUCAUCAACAAUAACUGCAUCUGAGAUUAAUAGUUACCGUGGGGUCUAGGUCAAUAAUUACUAUUUCUCAUCCAAGCCGUUUUUGUUUAACUGCUACAUAUUCCCUGACUCUGCAAAGGAAAAGGUAAAAAUACACUCAGAAUAGACUACUAGUUUUAUG